rnacentral:rRNA from 1 species
GAUGAACGCUGGCGGCGUGCUUAACACAUGCAAGUCGAACGGAAAGACCCUGCUCUUGUGGCGUUCUCGAGUGCCGAACGCGUGAGUAACACAUGAGUAACCUGCCCUUGACUUUGUGAUAACUUCAGGAAACUGGGGCUAAUACCCGAUAGGAUCUCCUGCUCCAUGUUGUUCGUUGGAAAGUUUCGGCUUUUCUGUCUGGACUCGCGGCUUAUCCGCUUCUUGGUGGGGUAGUGGCUUACCAAGGCUUUGACGGCUAGCCGGCCUGAGAGGGUUACCGGGCACAAUGGGACUGAGAGACGGACCAGACUCGUACGGGAGGCAGCAGUGGGGAGUAUGGCACAGUGAGCGGAAGCCUGAGGCAGCAACGUCGCGUGCGGGAUGACGGCCUUCGAGUUGUAAACCGCUUUCGAAUGUGACGAAGAGUGAGUGACGGUAAUGGGUAAAGAAGCACCGGCUAACUACGUG